AAUCUGCUCAUCCUGCCAAGACAGGUUACUCCUGCUUCCUAGGCCAAGACCAACCUACAAAGCGCUCCCAGGACAACACCAAGUGCACCUGUACCAGCUCCUGGGACUUCACCAUUGGUACCAGCUGUCAAGGACACCUGCUAAACACCUGCCUUCACAUCUCCCUCAAAAAGCAGCUGCCUGAGGUCUCCAGGAUGACAGGAAACCGGAUGUCACCCCAACCACCCC